rnacentral:rRNA from 1 species
AGAGUUUGAUCAUGGCUCAGAAUCAACACUGGCGGCGCGCUUAACACAUGCAAGUCGAACGAGAAAGCAUCCUUCGGGGUGUGAGUAAAGUGGCGUACGGGUGAGUAACACGUGGAUCAUCUACCUUUUAGUGGGGCAUACCUCUGGGAAACUGGAGACAAUACCGCAUAACCUCGCAAGAGGAAAGCAGCAAUGCGCUGAAAGAGGAGUCCGCGGCUGAUUAGCUAGAUGGUGAGGUAAUGGCUCACCAUGGCGAAGAUCGGUAGCCGGCCUGAGAGGGCACACGGCCACACUGGCACUGAAACACGGGCCAGACUCCUACGGGAGGCAGCAGUGGGGAAUCUUGCACAAUGGGGGAAACCCUGAUGCAGCGACGCCGCGUGAGCGAUGAAGCCUUUCGGGGUGUAAAGCUCUUUCGACGGGAACGAUAAUGACGGUACCCGAAGAAGAAGCUGCGGCUAACUACGUGCCAGCAGCCGCGGUAAUACGUAGGCAGCAAGCGUUGUUCGGAUUUACUGGGCGUAAAGAGUGCGUAGGCGGUGCUCCAAGUUUGGCGUGAAAUCUCCCGGCUUAACUGGGAGGGUGCGUCGAAUACUGGAGCGCUUGAGGGUGGGAGAGGAAAGCGGAAUUCCUGGUGUAGCGGUGAAAUGCGUAGAUAUCAGGAGGAACACCUGUGGUGUAGAC